CGGCGGAUGGGUGAGUAACGCGUAGGUAAUCUGCCGUUAGGACUGGGAUAACCCACCGAAAGGUGAUCUAUUACCGGAUGAUGCUGCGGGGCCGCAUGGCCACCGGUGUUAAAUCCCUCGGGAGCCUAACGAUGAACCUGCGUGCCAUUAGCUAGUUGGUAGGGUCAAAGCCUACCAAGGCAAUGAUGGCUAGGGGGUCUGAGAGGAUGAUCCCCCACACUGGGACUGAGACACGGCCCAGACUCCUACGGGAGGCAGCAGUGAGGAAUCUUGCGCAAUGGGGGCAACCCUGACGCAGCCACGCCGCGUGCUGGAAGACGGCCCUAUGGGUUGUAAACAGCUUUUACUGGGGAAGAACCUGGACCUUUCGAGGACCACUGACGGUACCCAGUGAAUAAGCACCGGCUAACUCCGUGCCAGCAGCCGCGGUAAUACGGAGGGUGCAAGCGUUGUCCGGAAUCAUUGGGUGUAAAGGGUGUGCAGGCGGAAGUCUAAGUCGGAGGUGAAAUCUUGCCGCUUAACGGUAAAAGGGCCUUCGAAACUGGAUUUCUUGAGUUCGGAAGAGGUUGGUGGAAUUCGUGGUGUAGCGGUGAAAUGCAU
rnacentral:rRNA from 1 species